AUUGAACGCUGCGGCAUGCCUUACACAUGCAAGUCGAACGGCAGCACGGGAGCAAUCCUGGUGGCGAGUGGCGAACGGGUGAGUAAUACAUCGGAACGUGCCCUGUCGUGGGGGAUAACUAGUCGAAAGAUUAGCUAAUACCGCAUACGACCUGAGGGUGAAAGCGGGGGACCGCAAGGCCUCGCGCGAUAGGAGCGGCCGAUGUCUGAUUAGCUAGUUGGUGGGGUAAAGGCCCACCAAGGCGACGAUCAGUAGCUGGUCUGAGAGGACGAUCAGCCACACUGGGACUGAGACACGGCCCAGACUCCUACGUGAGGCAGCAGUGGGGAAUUUUGGACAAUGGGGGCAACCCUGAUCCAGCAAUGCCGCGUGUGUGAGGAAGGCCUUCGGGUUGUAAAGCACUUUUGUCCGGAAAGAAAUCCCUUGCCCUAAUACGGCGGGGGGAUGACGGUACCGGAAGAAUGAGCACCGGCUAA
rnacentral:rRNA from 1 species